UACGUAGGGUGCGAGCGUUAAUCGGAAUUACUGGGCGUAAAGUGUGCGCAGGCGGCAGAGCAAGUCGAGUGUGAAAGCCCCGGGCUUAACUUGGGAAUGGCAAUGGAUACUGGGUCGCUAGAGUGUGAUAGAGGAUGGUGGAAUUCCCGGUGUAGCGGUGAAAUGCGUAGAGAUCGGGAGGAACAUCAGUGGCGAAGGCGGCCAUCUGGAUCAACACUGACGCUGAGGCACGAAAGCGUGGGGAGCAAACAGG
rnacentral:rRNA from 1 species